GUUUAUAUCACAAAACCACCAUCACUUCACAUGCUUUUUGACUGUUUCAGCAGACACACCAAGGACUGCCUGGGUGAUGCCAUGCCUAGUGGAGCUACUUGACAGCCACUGAGGAGAGUAAAGGAGACCAGGCAACUGAGAGUUGCAAAUGGAAUGAUAAAUAUACCCUGGAAGAAGUGAUGUAGAGAGAGACAGCAAAAGAGCACCGAGGCCAGGCAGCACGGCAGGUGGGGAGAGGGAACAUGGACAGGAGAGGGAAGAAUGGAGAGAAACAUAAGAGAAGUAGGAACAUCCUCACAGAGGAAAUGACAGAGACAGCACAGAAACAGUGGCCUCUUGGCAAUAAGACAGGAAAAUUCAGGCAUCUGCCAGGUGCAACUGCACAAGGAAGCCUAACUCAAAGACCAUCCUUAUGGAAGGAGGACAACAAAAAAGGAGUAUAUGUAGCACAACAAGGCUGAAUGGAAGAGGUGCUUACACUACAUUUUUAAAAAAUGUUCAUCUCCAAACACUCAUGAAUGAACCCUUAGUUUUGACACAUUCUUGUCUGGGUUUUAAAGAUUUAUAUAAUAUAUCAUUUAUAUACAACUGCUUGUGUUUAUUUACUGGCUGCCUUGUGGCUUUCCAUAAACAUAAAUGAUUUAAAGUUAAACUAACCAAACACUAAAAACAUGUCUAGAAUGUGUGGACAUUUGGGAUAGCCCAUGUCAGCAAGCGCAACAAACAGCUGACAGUCAACAAAAACAACUCAUAUAUUUGUGGUUAAAUAAGCAGAAGAUGAGGUUAGUUGUUCACGUCUUCAUGCUAUUCUAUUUUAAA